ACCUGCCUUGUACUGGGGGACAACAGUUGGAAACGACUGCUAAUACCGCAUAAGCGCACAGCUUCGCAUGAAGCAGUGUGAAAAACUCCGGUGGUACAAGAUGGACCCGCGUCUGAUUAGCUGGUUGGUGAGGUAACGGCCCACCAAGGCGACGAUCAGUAGCCGGCCUGAGAGGGUGAACGGCCACAUUGGGACUGAGACACAGCCCAAACUCCUACGGGAGGCAGCAGUGGGGAAUAUUGCACAAUGGGGGAAACCCUGAUGCAGCAACGCCGCGUGAGUGAAGAAGUAUUUCGGUAUGUAAAGCUCUAUCAGCAGGAAAGAAAAUGACGGUACCUGACUAAGAAGCCCCGGCUAACUACGUGCCAGCAGCCGCGGUAAUACGUAGGGGGCAAGCGUUAUCCGGAUUUACUGGGUGUAAAGGGAGCGUAGACGGUUUUGCAAGUCUGAAGUGAAAGCCCGGGGCUUAACCCCGGGACUGCUUUGGAAACUGUAGGACUAGAGUGCAGGAGAGGUAAGUGGAAUUCCUAGUGUAGCGGUGAAAUGCGUAGAUAUUAGGAGGAACACCAGUGGCGAAGGCGGCUUACUGGACUGUAACUGACGUUGAGGCUCGAAAGCGUGGGGAGCAAACAGGAUUAGAUACCCUGGUAGUCCACGCCGUAAACGAUGAUUACUAGGUGUUGGUGGGUACGACCCAUCGGUGCCGCAGCAAACGCAAUAAGUAAUCCACCUGGGGAGUA
rnacentral:rRNA from 1 species